AUGCCACGUGAAGGAGUCGGUGAUGUCGACAGGGUCCGCGGCUUCGUCCUUCAUGGUACCGGCUCGUCGAGGUGGGCGAAGGGUGUGACGGGUGAUUUGAACGCCGGGAGGCAUCGUGGCGAGCACCAUGUCGUGGUCCUCGGCGUGAUGAAAUGGAGGCACCAUCUUGACGAUAUUGACGGUGGGCGGCGCCGUGGCGUGCCCUGUGUCAUUGUGUUCCGCGGCACCGUGUGA
rnacentral:rRNA from 1 species